UUGGCUGUGAUAUAUCAGAUACCAACAGAUCAGGGAGGAAAAAAAGGUGAUUCACAUACACACAAACAACACAACAAAAACGCUCCCCGAUUACUGGAAAUGGAACUUCACAGGAGAUGGAUCCUAAGUCCUCAACACCAGAACAACUUGUAGAGAGAUGCUCGUCUUGAUGUGAAAUGAAAAACACAGCAUGGGCAGACGUACAAAGAGAUUUUCUGUAUUUCUCAAAUCUGAUGAGACGAAAUGGAAGCAGUUUUUGUCAUUAUGGCUGCAGCAUGGACUCUGGUCUAACUAAAAUACUGAAGGGACGUGAACUUCCAAAUCUACUGUGAAAACCCAAGAGCUAGGCACCCAAAGUCUUUCCUGAGGAUCAGGGAAAUUAUAACCUUCUCCACGCUUAAUCACCAUGAGUACUACAAUAUGUUUGAAUAUCAACAGACCCCUUCUCUGUGAUAACUGAGGAAGCUGUGAUGUUCUUUUUCAUCAAAUCUGGACUAACUCCUGAGGCUCAUAUCACAGAGCCCAAUUAUCUAGGAAAGCUGACAGCUCAGAAAUUCAGGAUGAUGGAUAGCUCAUCUCUGCAAUCCAUGGCAUGACAGUGCCCUGUUUGCAGCGCUUGGUCAUGUGUGCACUUCCUCAAUUUCUAAAAGCAAAACUGAGAAGUGUACAAGCAUUAAAAGAAGCAGCAGAGGCUACUAAUUUGAACACAGGAGAGGCAUUAUUACUAGACUAAGUGGUUAAGUCAUUACAGAACAGGAAGGAACACAACUUGGCCUCCUCUUGGUUCAGUACUCAUCCCGCGAUCCUUAGUGGAUCACAGGUGAAAGGUCAAUAGCACUUUGGACCAGUUCAUCUGCAAGGUCAAGAUGCAGCUGGAUGGACCUGACUUCCUUCAGCACAUCAAAAGUGAUCACUGCUAAGUGCACAGAGUGAGUGUAGCUACAUAAAUAGCCACCAGGUGCCCAUCUGCUGGGAUUGAUUCUUGCUGAUGCCACAACAAGUCCCUUCCUUCUGCCAGCAACUCCCUAUGCUGUGCGGAUUCAUCUUCAAAAUGAAUAGGAUGCAAGAAAUAAGGGCAAGAAUAUCGAGAAAACUUAAAGCAACAUAUACCUCAAAAGCAUGCUGAGGGAGACAGGCAUGGAGAUGCUGUACAAAUUUCCUGAGCUGACAAUGAUGAGCUCACAAUGACAAUGAGAUCACAGAGGGCUAGAAAACCUAAAUCAACUGGAUUUUAUCUCUCGUUCUUCCUCUUUUUCUUUCCUAUUUUCAAAGUCUCUUCAGGGACUUUUAAAAGGUCCCUUUUAAAACUAUGAAAUUGUGAAAGGUAUUAUAUUUUGUCACCAAUCCAUAAGUUCAGUCGGUGCCAUUGCCCUCUGAGGCAGCUUGUGUUGUUUCAUGAACCCCCUGACCCAUCUUCCCUUACAUCAGAAGUUCAAGGUUGGAAAGAGAAGGCCAAAGAGUGAAGGCCAAGGUUUAAAAAUUAAAAUUUUUGCUUUCCAAAUUAUAUCAACAUACUGCUAGUUUUAACAGAGCUAUGUUAAAUAGCAAAUUGCAAGAUGACCUGAUCAAAACAAUAUCUCAAAUAGUUAAAACUGGAAUUCAGUUAAAAGACCCAUUUUAAAUCCCCAACUUUUGCAACAGUUAAAGAUCUACAGUCAUCAGGGAAAAAUAGCUUUCUCAUGACCUUAUUCUAAAACAUCAAAUCAUUUUGUAUUUAGUGACUGCCUAACUACAAACAAGAAGGAAGUUACUCUUUGUAUGUUUCUCAAAAUUGGAAAUAGCCUGUUUGGUUAGAAGCUGCUCCAGGGACAUGGUUCUCAGAUUGCCCAGGUUUGGUCUCUCAAAGCAGCUACACGGACGCAAGAGUCAUGCACUGUAUCUCAAGAGAAAAGAGAUCUGAUUGACAGCAAUAGCCUAAGACUUAUCUACUGUAACUCACUGUGCUCCAAAAUCUUUCCAAGAGCACAAUCUGAGGAAGACUAAAGGGAGUCAUUUGCUAAGUUAACACUUGUGUCAUCGUGAAAUUAACUGUAUGACAGAAGCGAAACCACUUACAACCAACAGACAAAAAGUUACAUAAGUGAAAAAAAUACAAAAUGCAGCAGAAUUAUCAAUUUCAUAUAUACACAUAUGUAUACUAUUUUAGUUCUGAGUAUUACUUCCUGAAUCCUUAAGCCAUAGGACCCUAAGGGGAAGUGUGAGCGGGGUGACAGAGAAGGGACACUGUCGCUGCACGGUACCUGCCACGCAGUAAGGCACGAGGUGCACAUCAGAUGUCCACAAGGCUCAAUCUUGACAUCUUUGUCAUUCUCUGCGCAGAUCUUACAGAGCUGGAAAGUGGAGCCCAUUUCACAAUACAGUUCAUAUUGUUCCUGGAAUAUAGGGAAAAGGGGUCGAUGUUAACGGUUUUCAAGCAUGAAGUAUUAAUAUCAAAUUUCCUCAAUUACAAUGACUCUAGUUUCCCACACUUGAAUUUGUCAGAAUUAGGCUACCUUUAAGGACACAUUUUAAGUUAAUAUUCAUAAUUUUGUCUAAAAAAUAAAAUUUUAAAACAUUUGA